ensembl:lncRNA
GAUCUUGAAGAAAUCUCUCCGUAUAAAACGUGAAUCUAACUAAUUAGAUUAGAUCCUUCAUCAAUGAGGAACGGGAUCCGGGUGGUUAGGUGAAAAAUGUGUGUCUUUGGCUCCUAAAUGAACCAUAAAGGUGAAGAAUAAGCACAAAAGAUGAACAUAUUGUGUCAAGAAGCAGCUUCUGCAGAGGAACAUUAUAGUGUUUAAAAAUGUUUGUUUAUCAGCAUUGUAAAAUGAUUCUAAAUGGCAUUGAAGUAAGAAAUGAGAAGAGAAUGUCAGAGCUGCGAGAGAAAUGUGUGAGACUCACACAAGCUGAGGGAACAAGUGAGGAAAUACUUCAAGCAAGAUGUUUCUGUGAAAGAGUCGAUAGAAACUGAUUUGAGCCCAAAACUGACCUGUUGUGUUUCUCUGUUUGCUGAAACAGCACCUGACACAACUUCUGUGAACAUAAAGGACAUCAUUUGUUAAUUUGUCUGGUGGAGGCUUGACUGAAGUAGACAAAUAUUUGCAAGGUGUAUUUUAUUUAAUAUUAAUGUGAAUCUUACUCGAUUGUUGUUUCAUCAUCUUGUUCAUAAACUUGAGUGAGACGAUCAGUAUGAUUAUUACGACAAUAACACCUAUAACCAAAUAUAGAACAUAGCCUGGACAAAGACAGAGAAAGAGGACGGAUGUGAGAAAAGAUCAUUCACACUUCAUGGUACUUAGCAUGUGCUCAUCUCCUCUUUGCUACUAAGGAAUCUUUCAAUAAUCACAAACUUGCUUUUCACAGGAAAUGAGAACACAGAUAUUCUUGUUCUAUGAACUGCACCAUUUUAUAUUAAGGAGGCAGACAUGAUGCUGGAACAUCUUAUAAUUUAUGAAUAAAGUGGUGCUGGCAGUACUUGUGUAUGUGAGCAUUGCAUUGACAAGUGUGUGUGUAUCUAUCUAUCUAUCUAGAUGUAUUCUUAUACAACUUUAAUCAACAUCAAAUUAUAUAUGCAGUCAAUAUACUGUAACAUGUUCAUGGAUGAUGUACUCACUAACUGAUCCUUGUGCUGGUGCAUCAGGUGGUGUAUUGAGGGUGGUGUAUGACGUAGACGUAUCAAUAAUAACAUCUGAGCUGUUAGAAAACAUCGUGGAGCUCUUUGUAAAUGAGGAGGUGGGAACAACAAUGACAGUUUGUGGAGUCAUGCUGGGACUGGGGGGCGGAGCUGAAAAUAACAGACAAGUGAACAUACCAACAAUUAAGAAAGUUAUUACUUUUGGGCAAACAAGGAUUUUCUCAAUAAGAAUAUUUAGAGAAUAAACUCACCAUCAGUGACUUUUAGAUUCACCUUUAUAUAUGAGUCAGGGCCAAAUCUCUCCAGUCCACAAUAGUAUAUAUUGGAGUCUGACUUUUGGAGAUUGCUGAAGGUCACGAACAAGGUUUUUCCUUCGUUAUGUAACUCUAUUCUGUUUUUAUUUUCAAUUUUUCCAUAUGCUGCUUUAAUGAUGAUGUGUCGGUCCUCCGUGCAUGGACUGUAACAAAAGUACUUGACAUUCUCUGUUACAUCAGCCCAAACGUUCCGGUCUGAGCAGCUGAUUGUCACACUUUCACCAACACGACGAUUUAUGUUCAGAGGCUUCAUCUGCACAACACUCAGACCUACAAGCAGAAAUAAAGGAGACAUUUUGCCUUUGUCAUAGUUCAUACGUACAUUUCCUUUGACGUUAGUUUUUACUAUUCAUGACGGCAAAUUUGAAAAAUAAAAUAAACCCCUAAUUGAAUUAUACAUGUUUCAAUCAACAGCUACAUCUUUUGUACGCAAGCUACAGUUUGUGUAAAUGCAGAAGAUACAGAAAAAAACUAACUCACCAGAAAGAAGACAAAAGUAAACAUAGAUUUUUAUCAUCGUGAAAGUGAGAGAGUGAGUGAACGAGUGUGUAGGAAUCAUCAGGUCAGUCAUCACCGUCUUCACGUCCCUCCUUCACUUCCUCUUAUUGUCUCCAGUUGAUGCUCCUCCUCCUCCUGCAACACACAAGCUGUUUCUCAUUUAGUGGCCGUGUUCCUCUAUUGACUCAGCCUCUGAUGUGGACGGGCGGCCGGGUGCUUCUACGAAAGGAAAUGGUCUGGCCUGUGAGGGACUUCCUGUUUGUGCCACCAGCUUUUCAUGUGCUGCUCCUGUUGCUGCAGAAAGCUUGACAGUAAAGCUUUAUAUCUCAAAAAAUAUAUAAAAUACAGCCAGAUCAUAAUCUUCUCAUUUCAUUUCAUUCAUGAAGAUAUUCUUUACCUCUGGAGCAUCAUACCU